rnacentral:sRNA from 1 species
UUGACAACCCUGGAGAAUAAAGCCUGCUCGUCCCGAGCACAGGUACAACACAGCCAGAAGAGCUGCAAUUUUUUCCACAUUGCCCUAACAGUAAAUCCCAACCUCUGCUCAAAGGGAGUGCUUCUAGGAGCAAAAGGACAGUUUAAUCUCCAUGUCCAUUCAUUUUUUGGUCUUU